CCAACACUUUAACUAAAAUUAAUUUGGCUCGUUUAAUUUUCUUAAAAUUUUGACAAAGUAUUUACUUUGACCCUUUGACAAAAAUAUAAAAAAAUCAUUAAAUUUGAACCAUACUUUUAUCAGAUUAAAAUUACACUGGUUAUAUAGCAGUUUGACAAACACUUAUUUUGAUAAUUGAGAAGCUUAAUAUCCCCUUAACAACACAACAUAAUCAAAACGUUUAGCUGAUUUUACAGAGUUAUCUCCCUGUAGUGUUAGGUACCACCUUAAGU
rnacentral:lncRNA from 1 species